rnacentral:rRNA from 1 species
GGUAGCCGGCCUGAGANGGCGACCGGCCACACUGGGACUGAGACACGGCCCAGACUCCUACGGGAGGCAGCAGUGGGGAAUAUUGGGCAAUGGAGGAAACUCUGACCCAGCGACGCCGCGUGCGGGAUGAAGGCCUUCGGGUUGUAAACCGCUUUCAGCAGGGAAGAAGCGAAAGUGACGGUACCUGCAGAAGAAGCACCGGCUAACUAUGUGCCAGCAGCCGCGGUAAUACAUAGGGUGCAAGCGUUGUCCGGAAUUAUUGGGCGUAAAGAGCUCGUAGGUGGUUCGUCACGUCGGAUGUGAAACUCUGGGGCUUAACCCCRGACCUGCAUUCGAUACGGGCGARCUUGAGUAUGGUAGGGGA